rnacentral:rRNA from 1 species
UCCGGUUGAUCCUGCCGGAGGCCACUGCUAUUGGAGUCCGAUUUAGCCAUGCUAGCUGACCGAUUUAGAUCGGAGCGGAAAGCUGAGUAACACGUAGUCAACCUGCCCUAAGGACCAGGACAACCUCGGGAAACUGAGGCUAAUACUGGAUAGGGAAGAAUUGCCUGGAAUGGUGUCUUCUUGAAAUGUUCCGGCGCCUUAGGAUGGGACUGCGGCUGAUUAGGUAUACGCUGAGGUAACUUCUCGGUGUGCCGAUAAUCAGUAGCGGGCGUGAGAGCGCGAGCCGUCAGUCGUGUUCUGAGACAAGAACACGGAUCCUACGGGAUGCAGCAGGCACGAAACCUUUACAAUGCGUGAAAGCGCGAUAGGGGGACUCCAAGUGCUUCUCGUAAACAAAGCGGGAAGCUUUCCUGAACUUUAAGGAGGUUCAGCAACAAGUGGUGGGCAAGACUGCUGCCAGCCGCCGUGGUAAUAGCAGCACCGCGAGUGGUGGCCACGAUUAUUGGGCUUAAAGCGUCCGUAGCCGGCUUCAUAAGUCCGCUGUGAAAUCUGGUAGCUUAACUAUCAGAAGUGCGGUGGAUACUAUGGGGCUUGGGACCGGAAGGCGUCGAGGCUAUUCCUGGAGUAGGGGUGAAAUCCUAAAAUUCCAGGAGGAGCGCCGGUGGCGAAAGCGCUCGGCGAUUACGGAUCCGACGGUGAGGGACGAAAGCCAGGGGAGCAAAGGGGAUUAGAUACCCCUGUAGUCCUGGCCGUUAACGAUGUCCACUUGAUGUAAGGAAUCUUCCGAGGAUUCCUUGUGCCGAAGGAAAACCGUUAAGUGGACCGCCUGGGGAGUACGGUCGCAAGGCUAAAACUUAAAGGAAUUGACGGGGGAGCACCACAAGCGGUGGGGGCUGCGGUUUAAUUAGAUCCAACGCAGCAAACCCUACCAGAGCCGACAGCACAAUGAUGGUCAGCUUGAAGAGCUUACCUGAGGAGCUGAGAGGUGUUGCAUGGCCGCCGUCAGCUCGUGCCGUGAGGUGUCCUCUUAAGUGAGGUAACGAGCGAGACCCGUGUCCUAUGUUGCUACGGUCCUCUCCGGAGGUCCGGCACUCAUAGGAGACCGCUGGUGAUAAAUCAGAGGAAGGAACGGGCGACGGUAGGUCAGUAUGGCCCGAACGCUCUGGGAUACACGCGGCCUACAAUGGCCGGUACAAAGGGAUGCGACUCCGAGAGGAGAAGCUAAACCCCUAAAACCGGUCGUAGUUCGGAUUGAGGCUUGUAACUCAGCCUCAUGAAGGCGAAAUCGCUAGUAGUCGCUAGUCAUUAUCUAGCGGCGAAUACGUCCCUGCUCCUUGUACACACCGCCUGUCAAGUCACCCGAGUUAGUCCCAGGUGAGGUUCUCUCUCUGAGAGGAUCAAAUCUGGAAUUAGCAAGGGGGGCUAAGUCAUAACAAGGUAGCCGUUGGGGAACCAGCGGCUG